GACGAACGCUGGCGGCGUGCUUAACACAUGCAAGUCGAACGAUGAAGAAGAGAAACGCGAACUUCGGUUCAAAUUUCACUUCGGAUUAGUGGCAGACGGGUGAGUAACGCGUGAGCAACCUACCUCUUACAAAGGGAUAGCCUCGGGAAACCGUGAUUAAUACCAUAUGACACAUUCAUAAGGCAUCUUAAGAAUGUUAAAGCUACGGCGGUAAGAGGUGGGCUCGCGUCCCAUUAGCUAGUUGGUGAGGUAACGGCCCACCAAGGCGACGAUGGGUAACCGGCCUGAGAGGGUGAACGGUCACAUUGGAACUGAGACACGGUCCAAACUCCUACGGGAGGCAGCAGUGGGGAAUAUUGCACAAUGGAGGGAACUCUGAUGCAGCGACGCCGCGUGAGCGAUGAAGGAAUUCGUUUCGUAAAGCUCUGUUCUAUGGGAAGAAAAGGACUGUACCAUAGGAGAAAGCCCCGGCUAAAUACGUG
rnacentral:rRNA from 1 species